CAGAUUCUCACUUUGUCACCCAGGCUACAGUGCAGUGGUGCGAUCUCAACUCACUGCAACGUCUGCCUCCUGGGUUCAAGCAAUUCUCCUGCCUCCGCCUCUCAAGUAGCUGAGAUUACAGGAAUUACACACUAAUAGUGAAGAACAGGUGGCACCUGAAAUCACGGAAAAUGUAUUUGUCCUCAAUGCAAAGAUGAACUAUAAAGAGCACUUUAUUGUGUUUGAAGAAUGUAGGAAUGAUGAGUGAAAUGGUGAAGGAAGUGGAUAAACAAUGAUACAAUGACUUUGCCUCAUCUUUCAACUCAAUAAGCCAGUGAGGAACUUGGUAAAUUUGUUGAUUAUGUUUAGUUUUACAAUGCUUAAUUCUUUACUAUUU